ACACGACUACAUUAGAUACCCGGGUAGUCCCAGCCCUAAACGAUGCGCGUUUAGGUGUAUCGGUGACCACGAGUCACCGAGGUGCCGAAGGGAAACCGUGAAACGUGCCGCCUGGGAAGUGCGGUCGCAAGGCUGAAACUUAAAGGAAUUGGCGGGGGAGCACCACAACGGUGGAGCCUGCGGUUUAAUUGGACUCAACGCCGGGAAGCUCACCGGAUAAGACAGCGGAAUGAUUGCCGGGCUGAAGACCCUGCAUGACCAGCUG
rnacentral:rRNA from 1 species